rnacentral:rRNA from 1 species
AUUGAACGCUGGCGGCAUGCUUUACACAUGCAAGUCGAACGGCAGCGCGGGCUUCGGCCUGGCGGCGAGUGGCGAACGGGUGAGUAAUGCAUCGGAACGUGCCCAGUAGUGGGGGAUAGCCCGGCGAAGGCAGGAUUACUAAUGCAUACGACCUGCGGGUGAAAGCGGGGGGCGGAAGGGCCUCGCGCUCUGGGAGCGGCCGAUGUCGGAGUAGACAGCUGGUGGGGUAAAGGCUUACCAAGGCGACCAUCCGUAGCUGGUCUGAGAGGACGACCAGCCACACUGGGACUGAGACACGGCCCAGACGCCUACGGGAGGCAGCAGUGGGGAAUGGUGGACAAUGGGGGCAACCCUGAUCCAGCCAUGCCGCGUGCGGGAAGAAGGCCUUCGGGUUGUAAACCGCUUUUGUUCGGGAAGAAAUCCUCUGGGCUAAUACCCCGGGGGGAUGACGGUACCGGAAGAAUAAGCACCGGCUAACUACGUG